GAUGAACGCUGGCGGCGUGCCUAAUACAUGCAAGUCGAGCGAACAGACGAGGAGCUUGCUCCUCUGCCGUUAGCGGCGGACGGGUGAGCAACACGUGGAUAACCUACCUAUAAGACUGGGAUAACUUCGGGAAACCGGAGCUAAUACCGGAUAAUAUAUUGAACCGCAUGGUUCAAUAGUGAAAGACGGUUUUGCUGUCACUUAUAGAUGGAUCCGCGCCGCAUUAGCUAGUUGGUAAGGUAACGGCUUACCAAGGCAACGAUGCGUAGCCGACCUGAGAGGGUGAUCGGCCACACUGGAACUGAGACACGGUCCAGACUCCUACGGGAGGCAGCAGUAGGGAAUCUUCCGCAAUGGGCGAAAGCCUGACGGAGCAACGCCGCGUGAGUGAUGAAGGUCUUCGGAUCGUAAAGCUCUGUUAUUAGGGAAGAACAAAUGUGUAAGUAACUAUGCACGUCUUGACGGUACCUAAUCAGAAAGCCACGGCUAACUACGUG
rnacentral:rRNA from 1 species